rnacentral:tRNA from 1 species
GGGCACUUGGCCAAAGACCGGUGAAGGCGCUCGGCUACAACCGAGAGACUCGGGUUCAAAUCCCGAAGAGCCCA